rnacentral:RNase_P_RNA from 2 species
ACGUUUGGGUAAUCGCUGCAGUGUAUGCUGUAGAGGAAAGUCCAUGCUCGCACGGUGCUGAGAUGCCCGUAGUGUUCGUGCCUAGCGAAUAAAUAAGCUAGGGCAGUUUGGAUUCGUCUGAACUGACGGCAAGGAACGCACCUAAGUCUUCGGAUAUGGUGUUACUACUUUGAAAGUGCCACAGUGACGAAGUCCUAUCAGAAAUGAUAGGAGUGGAACGAGGUAAACCCCACGAGUGAGAAACCCAAAUGAUGGUAGGGGCACCUUCCUGGAGGAAUUGAACAAAAGGAAGGACAGGAAAAUUUCCUGUAGAUAGAUGAUUACCACCUGAGUACGAGGCGUGCGCCGAUUGCAGUACAAAGGAACAAAACAUGGCUUACAAAA